rnacentral:rRNA from 1 species
AGUGAACGCUGGCGGCAGGCCUAACACAUGCAAGUCGAACGGCAGCACAGGAGAGCUUGCUCUCUGGGUGGCGAGUGGCGGACGGGUGAGGAAUGCGUCGGAAUCUGCCUAUUUGUGGGGGAUAACGUAGGGAAACUUACGCUAAUACCGCAUACGACCUACGGGUGAAAGCAGGGGAUCUUCGGACCUUGCGCGAUUGAAUGAGCCGAUGUCGGAUUAGCUAGUUGGCGGGGUAAAGGCCCCCAAGGCGACGAUCCGUAGCUGGUCUGAGAGGAUGAUCAGCCACACUGGAACUGAGACACGGUCCAGACUCCUACGGGAGGCAGCAGUGGGGGAUAUUGGACAAUGGGCGCAAGCCUGAUCCAGCCAUACCGCGUGGGUGAAGAAGGCCUUCGGGUUGUAAAGCCCUUUUGUUGGGAAAGAAAUCCAGCCGGCUAAUACCUGGUUGGGAUGACGGUACCCAAAGAAUAAGCACCGGCUAACUUCGUGCCAGCCGCCGCUGUAAUAC